CCUAGUCAGAGCUGCUCAAAACAAAGGAUGCUGCUGGCCCUACCCAUAGGCAACUAGUUUCUUCUGGAUUUCCCAGAUUUCUGGGCCCUGUGAAAGGUGGUGGAAAGUUCUGUGUGUUUGGGUGGAGAAGAUCUUGCUCAUGAGAUGGUCUCUGGAGCCAGAACGGCUAAAUAAUCUCAAUUCGAUGAACUAUUCAUACCAGUCUUCUCUUUGUCAUGGUCAGAGCAGGCCAGUUACCAUGAUGGGUCUUCCUUUGGGCACCAACCAAACGGAACUGUAAUGAGACUCUAUCUCGACUGAGGUACAAGGUUGUUAAAGUGCAGACGGACUGGAGCAUUACAAAACGUGGCGUGGAAGCAAUGCCUGUCCAGCAGGGGCCCGGCCCUCCACCCCUCCCACUUCUUGGGAAGAUGAGAGUUCAGUCUGUGACAACCACCGCACAGUGAGAAGACCAGGAACGUUCUCCUGGAACAAAACCUCCCCAAGUUCUCGGGGGCCGUGGAGGUCUGUGUAAGAGGAGUCCAGUGAAAGAUCUUCCUUCUCUCAUCUCCCUCUUUCAUCUUCCCUAAUCCCCUCCCCUCAACGUAUCUUUCUUUUUCUCUCUGCCCCCAGCCCCCCUCCUCUUUCUAUUCACCAUCAAGAACAGCCAAUUUAGCGGGCGGCCGUAUGGCUCCAGCAAAGUCCCUGGGAUCAGUGGCUGUAGGGAAUGGCGGAGCCAGAAGGGAAAAUCAAAGAUGAAGUGAGCAUUUGGAUCUUCCUGAAAUGGACUACUCUUCUGCUGCAUGGUUCCGGGAGAUUAGGGGAUGGGGUCUGUUCUUCCUUCCCCCCUGAAUCUGAUCCACCGCUUUCUCUCCUAUGAGGACCUGUAACAUGGCCAGUUAGACACUGGUUUCAGCUGUCAAAAAGUUUUCCACCCGCAGCCGUGCUGGGGCUUUGAAGGUGAUGUCGGGGUGGUGGACGGGAGGGGGUGAGGAAAAGCCAUUUCUGGGACAGAGCUCAAGGUCCAAGACCGGAAGAUGUAUAGGUGGACAUGAGCGGGUGUUUAUUCCAAACAGGAGGGGCUCAAAUGGCAGCAAGAGGGGUGAAGCUUUGACGUAAAGAGGAACAUGGGUUUUGAAAGUAAGCCAGGAUGCCUUUAAUAAUUGCUAUAAGAAGUACAUUCUAUUCUGUAGUAUAUUUACUGUUCUAAGAACUUUCUUUUACAAUCUCAUUUAAUCCCUCCAACGACCCUACAAAAGAGGUAUGCCUGUUAGAUUUCCAUUUUACAGCUGAGAAAGCUGAGGGUCCGAUAAGUUAAAUAACUUUAUCCAAGGCUAGCAGCUAGAAAGGGACAGAGUCUGAAUUUAGACCCAGGCAAUCUGAUGCCAGAGCCCGGGCUCCUAACUGCUGUUUUCCAGCUGCCUCCCUGGACAGAGUAGGGAAAUGUUGGAGAUGCUUCUUCCUGGCCAGGUGGGAUACACACCUGGAAGACCAAGAGGUGGGUGAGCGGACCCGGUGGCCUUGUGAGUCUCUGAAGAGUGUGGGAUUCUCAGUGACUGUGAGCUUGGCCUUCUCACUGAUGCGGCUCCCUCCCUCUCUGCCCUUCCCACGCAGUUUCUCCAAGCUCCAUCCAUCCCACGAGCUGGGGGGGAGGGCUGAAGUGAGAAGGAGAGGUCCCCUUGAGGCUGGGUCCAGCCCUGGAUGCCUCUGCCCGCAUCUGCUUUGCUCGGGGUGCAGUUGCCUGACUCACAUCUGUUACGCUGGGUCACCAGCUGCCAACUGCGGCCAAGGGGUCAGUCACCUUUUCCAUCCAUCCUCCAUCCUGAUCUGACUUAUCUCGCACAAGGGGUGCCCCCCCGAGCCCGCAGUUUGGGUCCUCCCGGUCUCCUCCUCAGCUUAGUGGGUUUUUU